rnacentral:rRNA from 1 species
GACGAACGCUGGCGGCGUGCUUAACACAUGCAAGUCGAACGGAAAGGCCCGGCUUUUGCGGGGUGCUCGAGUGGCGAACGGGUGAGUAACACGUGAGUAACCUGCCCUUGACUUUGUGAUAACUUCAGGAAACUGCGGCUAAUACCGCAUAGGAGCUCCUGCUGCAUGGUGGGGGUUGGAAAGUUUCGGCGGUUGUGGAUCGACUCGCUGCUUAUCAGCUUGUUGGUGGAGUAGUGGCGUACGAAGGCUUUGACGGGUAGCCGGCAUGAGAGGGUGAACGGCGACAUUAGGCCUGCGAGACGGACCAGACGCGUACGGGAGGCAGCAGUGGGGAGUAUUGCGGAGUGGCGGCAAGCGUGAUACAACAACGCUGCGUGCGGGAAGCCGGCCUUCUGGUUGUGAACCGCUUUCGCCGGAGACGAAGCGUGCGUGACGGUAAUGGGUCAAGAAGCAACGGCUAACUACGUG